CACGGAGUUAGCCGGUGCUUCUUCUGCGAGUAACGUCACAGCUGGCAGUUAUUCGCUACCAACCUUUCCUCCUCGCUGAAAGUGCUUUACAACCCGAAGGCCUUCUUCACACACGCGGCAUGGCUGCAUCAGGGUUUCCCCCAUUGUGCAAUAUUCCCCACUGCUGCCUCCCGUAGGAGUCUGGACCGUGUCUCAGUUCCAGUGUGGCUGAUCAUCCUCUCAGACCAGCUAGGGAUCGUCGCCUUGGUGAGCCAUUACCUCACCAACUAGCUAAUCCCACCUGGGUUCAUCCAAUCGCGCAAGGCCCGAAGGUCCCCUGCUUUCCCCCGUAGGGCGUAUGCGGUAUUAGCAGUCGUUUCCAACUGUUAUCCCCCUCGACUGGGCAGAUCCCCAGGCAUUACUCACCCGUCCGCCACUCGCCGGCAAAAGUAGCAAGCUACUUCCCGCUGCCACUCGACUUGCAUGUGUUAGGCCUGCCGCCAGCGUUCAAU
rnacentral:rRNA from 1 species